GCCUACAGUCAUAACACCCUGAAAGCUCUCAAUAUUAUCUCAUCUCAAAAGCUAAGUAGGGUUGGGCCUGGUUAGUACUUGGAUGGGAAUACUGAGGAAAUAAGAGGUGAUUUGGGAU
rnacentral:rRNA from 1 species